rnacentral:rRNA from 1 species
UGAUCCCNGCUUGCUGGGGGAUUAGUGGCGAACGGGUGAGUAACACGUGAGUAACCUGCCCUUGACUCUGGGAUAAGCCUGGGAAACUGGGUCUAAUACCGGAUACGACCAUCUGGCGCAUGUCAUGGUGGUGGAAAGCUUUUGUGGUUUUGGAUGGACUCGCGGCCUAUCAGCUUGUUGGUGGGGUAAUGGCCUACCAAGGCGACGACGGGUAGCCGGCCUGAGAGGGUGACCGGCCACACUGGGACUGAGACACGGCCCAGACUCCUACGGGAGGCAGCAGUGGGGAAUAUUGCACAAUGGGCGCAAGCCUGAUGCAGCGACGCCGCGUGAGGGAUGACGGCCUUCGGGUUGUAAACCUCUUUCAGUAGGGAAGAAGCGUAAGUGACGGUACCUGCAGAAGAAGCGCCGGCUAACUACGUGCCAGCAGCCGCGGUAAUACGUAGGGCGCAAGCGUUAUCCGGAAUUAUUGGGCGUAAAGAGCUCGUAGGCGGUUUGUCGCGUCUGCUGUGAAAGACCGGGGCUCAACUCCGGUUCUGCAGUGGGUACGGGCAGACUAGAGUGCAGUAGGGGAGACUGGAAUUCCUGGUGUAGCGGUGAAAUGCGCAGAUAUCAGGAGGAACACCGAUGGCGAAGGCAGGUCUCUGGGCUGUAACUGACGCUGAGGAGCGAAAGCAUGGGGAGCGAACAGGAUUAGAUACCCUGGUAGUCCAUGCCGUAAACGUUGGGCACUAGGUGUGGGGGACAUUCCACGUUUUCCGCGCCGUAGCUAACGCAUUAAGUGCCCCGCCUGGGGAGUACGGCCGCAAGGCUAAAACUCAAAGGAAUUGACGGGGGCCCGCACAAGCGGCGGAGCAUGCGGAUUAAUUCGAUGCAACGCGAAGAACCUUACCAAGGCUUGACAUGAACCGGAAAGACCUGGAAACAGGUGCCCCGCUUGCGGUCGGUUUACAGGUGGUGCAUGGUUGUCGUCAGCUCGUGUCGUGAGAUGUUGGGUUAAGUCCCGCAACGAGCGCAACCCUCGUUCUAUGUUGCCAGCGCGUUAUGGCGGGGACUCAUAGGAGACUGCCGGGGUCAACUCGGAGGAAGGUGGGGACGACGUCAAAUCAUCAUGCCCCUUAUGUCUUGGGCUUCACGCAUGCUACAAUGGCCGGUACAAAGGGUUGCGAUACUGUGAGGUGGAGCUAAUCCCAAAAAGCCGGUCUCAGUUCGGAUUGGGGUCUGCAACUCGACCCCAUGAAGUCGGAGUCGCUAGUAAUCGCAG